rnacentral:rRNA from 1 species
AUUAGACGAAUCAUCUGGAAAGAUGAAUCAAAGAAGGUAAUAAUCCUGUAGUCGAAAAUGUUGUCUCUCUUGAGUGGAUCCUGAGUACGACGGAGCACGUGAAAUUCCGUCGGAAUCUGGGAGGACCAUCUCCUAAGGCUAAAUACUCUCUAGUGACCGAUAGUGAACCAGUACCGUGAGGGAAAGGUGAAAAGCACCCCGGAAGGGGAGUGAAAUAGAACCUGAAACCGUGUGCUUACAAGUAGUCAGAGCCCGUUAAUGGGUGAUGGCGUGCCUUUUGUAGAAUGAACCGGCGAGUUACGAUUUGAUGCAAGGUUAAGCAGUAAAUGUGGAGCCGUAGCGAAAGCGAGUCUGAAUAGGGCGUUUAGUAUUUGGUCGUAGACCCGAAACCAGGUGAUCUACCCUUGGUCAGGUUGAAGUUCAGGUAACACUGAAUGGAGGACCGAACCGACUUACGUUGAAAAGUGAGCGGAUGAACUGAGGGUAGCGGAGAAAUUCCAAUCGAACCUGGAGAUAGCUGGUUCUCUCCGAAAUAGCUUUAGGGCUAGCCUCAAGUGAUGAUUAUUGGAGGUAGAGCACUGUUUGGACGAGGGGCCCCUCUCGGGUUACCGAAUUCAGACAAACUCCGAAUGCCAAUUAAUUUAACUUGGGAGUCAGAACAUGGGUGAUAAGGUCCGUGUUCGAAAGGGAAACAGCCCAGACCACCAGCUAAGGUCCCAAAAUAUAUGUUAAGUGGAAAAGGAUGUGGCGUUGCCCAGACAACUAGGAUGUUGGCUUAGAAGCAGCCAUCAUUUAAAGAGUGCGUAAUAGCUCACUAGUCGAGUGACACUGCGCCGAAAAUGUACCGGGGCUAAACAUAUUACCGAAGCUGUGGAUUGUCCUUUGGACAAUGGUAGGAGAGCGUUCUAAGGGCGUUGAAGCAUGAUCGUAAGGACAUGUGGAGCGCUUAGAAGUGAGAAUGCCGGUGUGAGUAGCGAAAGACGGGUGAGAAUCCCGUCCACCGAUUGACUAAGGUUUCCAGAGGAAGGCUCGUCCGCUCU